CGGGGUGUAGCGCAGUCUGGUAGCGCGCCUGCUUUGGGAGCAGGAUGUCGGGAGUUCGAAUCUCUUCACCCCGACCA
rnacentral:tRNA from 5 species